CGAGCGGCACAGCCAGAUGGGGCGUGGCGGCCAAUAGCCAUGAAGUUCAAUCGCGAACGAUGAUUGAUUGAGAGGUAAAUUUCAUCGCCUAUAUAUUCAUAUUCAUGCCAAUUGAUUAAUUGAGAGGUUAAUCAUGUAUGCCAAUUGAUUAAUUGAGAGGUUAAUCAUGUCUCCGUAUAUUCAUGCCAGCCUAUAAAAUCCCAACCUUGCCCCUAUUGGGCUCAUUUUCGCAAACCAAUCUCCAGUACAAAAGUGAUGGGUGAUGCUCAGGUUCCAACUCUGUUUGGUUUCAAGGUGAUGUGCUGGUUCCAAUUCUCAGUUGUUGUCUUCAUAAUUUUAAAUGAUUACAGCUUCUCUCCAAGUAGGAAUUUUCGCUACAUUCUGGUUGGUUUCUUUGGUUCUUACAGCUGAUCUAAUGGCUAACGGAGAGGUUAGUACCAGUUUCCUCUUAUGCCUCCUUUAAUUAUGCCUCAUCUCACAAUCUGUUCAUUGUAGUACGCCAGUACAUACCUUCUAUUGUAUGAUAUGAUUUCUCUCUAUGAUUGUUUGAAAUAAUCAAAAGUACCACCUACUUUUCCUGCCAUAUGUAGCAGGUUAUUUAGAAAGUGAAAAAUGCGGAAAAGAAGCCACGAUUAAUGCCAGUCGAUGCUUCGGGCAGGUCAGUUACAAUGGCAAUUCAGGUUUUCCAUUCAAUUCAUGCGAGCCCAUAUAAUACCAACCUUGCCGCUACUCCUUUCCCACACUGCUCACAUUGGCAAACCAUUCUCCAGCACAUAGCGAUGGAUGGAUGAUGCUUAAGUCUCUAGCCGUUUCAAUUCUCCUUGUUUGCUGCAUCUCCUCUUCACCUAAUUCUUCCUCUGUUUUUAGUGAUACUGUUCUUUGUUUUAAAUAACGCAGGUUUCACACGUUGACAGAUUUCAGGCUGGUUCUGCUGGGUUAGAAGGUGAUGCACGGGUUCCAAUUAUCAAUUGUUUCUACAUAUAUAUACUGAUGUGUUCUCCGUCUAAUUUCCCAUGCCCAAACUCUCCAGUUGUACUCGAUAUGAAACUACUUGGAUGGACCAGCAUACAAGAAUUUCUAAGAAAGUCAUAGCAGCGCUCCUCUCAUGCUUUGGAGAAAGUGUACGUUAAUCUUGAGAUUUGUAUCUUUAGUUCUUUGAUUUACUUCUAAACAUGUUACAUUCACUGAUUGCUCUGCCCACGUACAGGAACCGUAUGAUCUUCAUGUUAUUUGUGUCAACCAUAAUGUGUCUGGCCCAUGGCCCUGUGUACUGCACCGAUGCUGACAAACCCAUUUUCAUAUUCCAUCACAUUCAUGUUAAUUUUCUGACAAGACCAAGGGAUGGAAAUCCAAAACUCCUAAAUAUACUCAUGAGAUGCAAAUCACGUGGAUCAACCUUGUGAAGGAACACCAACAACACAAUCGAUUUCACAUAAGGUAAGAUGCAGGCUUUGGAUUUUCAGUAAGAAAUUUUGUAAGGCGACUCCAGGACCAACAGAACCGAUGGUAUAGUGAAAUACAUCUACUAAUCAAAACUACCUAUUACAUGUCUCGAUUCAUACUCCCUCCGUCCGAAAAUACUUGUCAUCAAAAUGGAUAAAAAGGAAUGUAUCUAGAACUAAAAUACAUCUAGAUACAUCCCAUUUUAUUCAUUUUGAUGACAAGUAUUUCCGGACGGAGAGAGUACAUACUAACCACCAGCACGCUGGAAGAAGAUAACAUGCUUCCUAAUUUCCUGAUCGCCAGCUCGGCCUUGGUCGCUGUUGGCAAUUGGUUAUCUUGUCAGUAUUUCACAAUUAGGAUUAUGCAUUCCCAUGCUUCUCUUAGCUUGAUGCUCAUUCCCGUACUAUUUUAUUCAACUAGACGGAUGUGUUUCUUGCCCUGUUCUGAAUCUCUCUAAUUCUUGUGUGUAAGUGGAUAUGUAUAUGUUUUUAUUAUUUAAUAUCUGUUAAAAACGUAAAAUAUUAUGAUACAUACUUAUAAAUUUAGUUCAGUUAAAAUUUUCCAAGUUUUAUUUAAAUAGAAGUGUUCAUAUCCUCAUAUCUCAUUUUUUAGGCUGCAAAAAUUGUAAUUUAUGGGGAAGUUGUGGUGCAGCCAACCAAAGGCGUGGAUGUUGCCAGCGGCCACAAGGAUAUCUAAUUAUGUCAUUUUUGUUGGCAUAAUCUGGUUGCUGCAGCCAGUGAACUAUGAGAGACUUUGAGCACUCGAAAGCAACUAACCAAAUUUAAGAUUCACAAACAAUGAAGAUUUCGUUGGUGCACUAUAUAUGUAUACUGGUAUAUGUUUAUUUCAUAUUUGUGUUGUUGCUUAUUAUCGGUCUUGAAGAUACAGAUUAGCUAUAUUUACCAAGUGCACACUUAUACCAAAGCCCAUGUGUACAUAUGAUAUUUCUCUCCAUUACUGACUAAUAGACGUUUCUGUUUGUGCAAACUUAUAUAUUUCAUGAAUUCAUAUAUUUAUU
rnacentral:lncRNA from 1 species